UGAGGUUAGAUAGAGGUUUUGCAUCUGGAAGCCUCUAUCGAACUUCAGUUAAUUUGAUUAUGAUGCAGCCCAAUUCAAGUUUUUGGAGGAGGAGCUGAGUGAAAAUGGCGGUUCCAUUGUUGAAGAAGGUGAUCGUGAAGAAGAGGGUCAAGCAGUUCAAGAGGCCCCAAAGCGACUGCAAGAUCUGCGUCAGGUUUUGCAGUUUUCUAAGGUUGAAUUGCUCCCAAAAGGCUUGGAGA